rnacentral:rRNA from 1 species
ACGCUGGCGGCAGGCUUAACACAUGCAAGUCGAACGGUAACAGGGAUUAGCUUGCUAAUCUGCUGACGAGUGGCGGACGGGUGAGUAAUGCUUGGGAAUCUGGCUUAUGGAGGGGGAUAACUACGGGAAACUGUAGCUAAUACCGCGUAAAAUCUUCGGAUUAAAGGGUGGGACUUUCGAGCCACCUGCCAUAAGAUGAGCCCAAGUGGGAUUAGGUAGUUGGUUAGGUAAAGGCUGACAAGCCGACGAUCUCUAGCUGGUCUGAGAGGAUGACCAGCCACACUGGAACUGAGACACGGUCCAGACUCCUACGGGAGGCAGCAGUGGGGAAUAUUGCACAAUGGGGGGAACCCUGAUGCAGCCAUGCCGCGUGAAUGAAGAAGGCCUUCGGGUUGUAAAGUUCUUUCGGUGACGAGGAAGGUUGAUAGGUUAAUAGCCUACCAAAUUGACGUUAAUCACAGAAGAAGCACCGGCUAACUCCGUGCCAGCAGCCGCGGUAAUACGGGGGGUGCGAGCGUUAAUCGGAAUAACUGGGCGUAAAGGGCACGCAGGCGGUGACUUAAGUGAGAUGUGAAAGCCCCGAGCUUAACUUGGGAAUUGCAUUUCAUACUGGGUCGCUAGAGUACUUUAGGGAGGGGUAGAAUUCCACGUGUAGCGGUGAAAUGCGUAGAGAUGUGGAGGAAUACCGAAGGCGAAGGCAGCCCCUUGGGAAUGUACUGACGCUCAUGUGCGAAAGCGUGGGGAGCAAACAGGAUUAGAUACCCUGGUAGUCCACGCUGUAAACGAUGUCGAUUUGGGGAUUGGGCUUUGAGCUUGGUGCCCGUAGCUAACGUGAUAAAUCGACCGCCUGGGGAGUACGGCCGCAAGGUUAAAACUCAAAUGAAUUGACGGGGGCCCGCACAAGCGG